UACGUAGGGGGCAAGCGUUGUCCGGAAUCAUUGGGCGUAAAGCGCGUGUAGGCGGUCCGGUAAGUCCGCUGUGAAAGUCGGGGGCUCAACCCUCGGAUGCCGGUGGAUACUGUCGGGCUUGAGUACGGAAGAGGCGAGUGGAAUUCCUGGUGUAGCGGUGAAAUGCGCAGAUAUCAGGAGGAACACCAAUGGCGAAGGCAGCUCGCUGGGACGUUACUGACGCUCAUGCACGAAAGCGUGGGGAGCAAACAGG
rnacentral:rRNA from 1 species